UACAGAGGGGGCAAGCGUUAUUCGGAAUUAUUGGGCGUAAAGGGCGCGUAGGCGGCUUUGCAAGUGACGGGUGAAAUCCCUCGGCUUAACCGAGGAACUGCCUGUCAAACUGCAUGGCUUGAGACCGGGAGAGGUGAGUGGAAUUCCCAGUGUAGCGGUGAAAUGCAUAGAUAUUGGGAGGAACACCAGUGGCGAAGGCGGCUCACUGGACCGGUACUGACGCUGAUGCGCGAAAGCGUGGGGAGCAAACAGG
rnacentral:rRNA from 1 species